rnacentral:rRNA from 1 species
AGGACGAACGCUGGCGGCGUGCCUAAUACAUGCAAGUCGAACGCACCCUUCGGGGUGAGUGGCGCACGGCUGAGUAACACGUGGGAAUCUGUCUUCUAGUGGGGGAUAACGUCUCGAAAGAGACGCUAAUCCCGCAUACGCUCCGCAAGGAGGAAAGGCGCAAGUCGCUAGAAGAGGAGCCUGCGGCCCAUCAGGUAGUUGGAGAGGUAAUGGCUCGCCAAGCCUAUGACGGGUAGCUGGUCUGUGAGGACAACCAGCCAGACUGGGACUGAGAACGGCCCAGACUCCUACGGGAGGCAGCAGUGGGGAAUUUUGGACAAUGGACGCAAGUCUGAUCCAGCCAUUCCGCGUGCAGGAUGAAGGCCUUCGGGUUGUAAACUGCUUUUGUACGGAACGAAAAGACUCUGGUUAAUACCUGGGGUCCAUGACGGUACCGUAAGAAUAAGCACCGGCUAACUACGUG